rfam:Ciona savignyi cont_38000, whole genome shotgun sequence.
GACCGCAUGGCCUAAUGGAUGUGGCAUCUGACUUCGAAUCAGAAGAUUGAGGGUUCGAGUCCCUCUGUGGUCU